rnacentral:rRNA from 1 species
GUGCCAGCCGCCGCGGUAAUACGUAGGGUGCAAGCGUUAAUCGGAAUUACUGGGCGUAAAGCGUGCGCAGGCGGUUGUGCAAGACAGAGGUGAAAUCCCCGGGCUUAACCUGGGAACUGCCUUUGUGACUGCACGGCUAGAGUGUGUCAGAGGGGGGUAGAAUUCCACGUGUAGCAGUGAAAUGCGUAGAUAUGUGGAGGAAUACCGAUGGCGAAGGCAGCCCCCUGGGAUAACACUGACGCUCAUGCACGAAAGCGUGGGGAGCAAACAGG